GGCUCGUUGGUCAAGCGGCUAAGACACGGCCCUCUCAAGGCUGAAACGGGAGUUCGAUUCUCCCACGAGUCACCA
rnacentral:tRNA from 1 species